rnacentral:ncRNA from 1 species
AAAAAGUUUAAUUUUAGUUUAAAAAUUUGAUUUAUUAUUACUUUAUAUGUAAUUUUUCUUAAAAAUAUAAUAAAUUUUGCAGUAAUUAAUUUUAUUUUAUUAAAAAUUUAAUUUUAGUUAUUAAUAUUAGAUCUAAUAUAAUUUGUGCCAGCAAUUGCGGUUAAACAAAUAGAUCAAUUAAAUAUUUAUUAGUUAUAAUAAGUUAUUUAUUAUUAAAGAGUAUAAUUUUAAGGUGAAAUUUAAAUUUAUAGUAAUUUUUUAAAAGGUAAUGAUUUAAUAAAUUUGUGUAAUAAACUAGGAUUAGAUACCCUAUUAUUUCAAUUAUAAGUUAAUUUUCUUAAUUAGUAUUAGUUAUGUUCUUUAAAGUUAAAAAAUUUGGCGGUAUUUCAUUCAGUUUAGAGGAACCUGUUCUGUAAUCGAUAAUCCACGAUAUGUAUUACUUAUUUUUAGCUUGUAUAUCGUUGUUAAUGAAUAUCUUUAUAGGGAUAAUUUUCUUUUAUUUUUAUUAUAAUAAAUUUCAGAUCAAGGUGCAGCUUAUGUUUAAGUAGAAAUGGGUUACAAUAAAUUUAUUUUUGGUUAUUAAAUUUAAAUUUUUAAUAUAAAUUGGAUUUAAUAGUAAUUAUACUUAUUUAUGUAUAGUGAUUAUUGUUCUGAAAUAUGUACAUAUUGCCCGUCGCUCUCAAUUAAUUUGAGAUAAGUCGUAACAUAGUAGAUGUACUGGAAAGUGUAUCUGGUGUU